AGCCCCGACGGGGCAGCCCGGCCCCGGCCCCGCCGCUUCCCCACCUCCGACCGGUGCUGCCGCCGCUCCCGCCUCUUGGACAGCAGAGCCACAGCAAAGUGGUCACCACCUUCGAGCUCCCUUUGGCCUUAGUCGGACCUAAAGAGACAGUCAGCAGUGAGUUGGCCAUCUCACCAACACAGCGAGUCCCAGGAAUACUUCAGUGUGCUCCUGUGCAAAGGCUUUGGAUGCAGAAAUGUACCAGAAUUCUUUAAAACGGAUACGCUUGCUACGCUGAGAGCUUUUUUUUAUAGGCCAAAGGAGAACACAGCAAAAGCUGCGGAAUUACAUAAACAGUGUCCCAAACCUGGCAAAACCAAGGGAUGAUAAUCAUCGCUGGAAAGUGCAGAGUGAGUUACUACACAGAAGCAAUGCUUAUAUCAAUCUGGAGAGCUGGGCGCUCAGCUUCACACACUCCUUUUGCAGCAUCAGGGCAAGGGCUGACUGCUAGGUCUUUCUUGACUGGUGGAUCCCCACGUGUGAACCAGGUAAG